rnacentral:lncRNA from 1 species
UAACUGGGAAUCAAAGUGGUUUAUUCCAGAAAUGUCAAUAUACACUUUUUUUUUCCCCAGUAUAUAUCACAUCUUAACACAAUAUAUUACUUUGGGCAAUUAAUACAUUUCCUUCCUCUAAAGACAAGCAUGCAGAGGAGAAUGUAGGUAACUGUUUAUCACAGGGUAUACACUCUUGUGAGUGGCCCAAAUUGUGCAAACAAGGAGGUAAAAAAACAACAGCCUGGCUGGGCGCAGUGGCUCAUGUCUGUAAUCCCAGCACUUUGGGAGGCCGAGGCGGGCGGAUCACCUGAGGUCAGGAGUUCAAGACCAGCCUGGCCAACAUGUGAAACCCUGUCUCUACUAAAAAUAAAAAAUUAGCUGGUUGUGGGGGCAUGUGCCUGUAAUCCCAGUUACUUGGGAGGCUGAGGCAGGAGAAUCGCUUGAACCUGGGAGGUGGAGGUUCUGCAGUGAGCCAAGAUCAUGCCACUGCACUCCAGCCUGGCGACAGAGUGAGACUCCAUCGCAAAGACAAAAAACAAACAAAAAAAACGACAGCCUACAGUAAGUCUUACCUCGGCUCUCCUGCCCUGGGAGCAGGAAGGCAUCUUUCCGUGGCAAAUAGCACCCGUCAAGACCCCAAACCUUCCUCUACUGCAGCACCCCAGGGAAUUUCACAGCUGAAAAUGCUUUGUGCCGGGCGCGGUAGCUCAUACCUGUAAUCCCAGCACUUUGGGAGGCCAAGGCAGGUGGAUCACCUGAGGUCAGGAGUUCGAGACCAGCCUGGCCAACAUGGUGAAACCUCGUCUCUACUAAAAAUACAAACAAUUAGCUGGGCGUUGUGGCAGGUUGCUCAUUUAACCCUCAAAUGUACCAAUCUGGGCCAGUGCAGUGGCUCAUGCCUGUCACCCCAGCAUAUUUGAAGGCUGAGGCAGGAAAACUGAGGCCAAGAGCUUGAGACCAGCCUAUAGGCAACAUAGUGAGACUCUGUCCCUUAUUAAAACAAAAAAAGCACCAAUCUGGUGGGAGGCAUGGUCAUCUUCAGUGUCCCCAUCUUACUGAAGAAGUAAUGGAGGUACAAACAGGGAGGGACCUGCCCGAGGUCCAGCAGGCUGGUGGGGAGCUGGGAUCAGAAACCCCACGUGGACAACGUGGUGGCCUCCGCCUCUAAGUGCUAAGGAGGCACUUGCUGGGUCGUUUGAACCCACCUGCUGCUGCGCUCCCAAAACUUCCCAUGGGACCAGGCCUCCCCUCUGCAGCCAAAGUUCCUUUAGAUGAUGAGAGGCUACACACUCAGACACAUGGCCGGCGGGCACAGGAACCACAGAGUAUGUGGUCACCUUGGCGUGUAUCUAUUUAUAGCCAUACACAACAGGGUCUUAAGCAGUCACCAUUCAAAAAAUAUGUGGUCAAGAACUAAACCAAACAAACCUGGAUGAUCCUAGGCCAAAACAAUUCCUUUCCAGGCACACAGGCCCAGCAGAGACAAAACCAGAUAUUCAUUCAUCACACACACAAGUCUUCCAGAAACUGACUUUGUCACAUUUCAGCAGAUGGAAACAGCCUUUACUUCCCCGAGAGGGUCCCAUCCCCUGAAGGGUUCAACAGAAAAUGUCCUUUCCUGUUGUUCCAUAGUGCCUACUGACAUCGCUAGAUUCCUUUGUCACCAUGCUUGACAUACCUGGAUGCCCUGCUGAGGUCACUUCGAAUGCUCUCAUCAACGAGGGGCAGGAAGAAAAUAGUGGUUGCUGCAUGUUUUCAGCCAAUCGUCGGGGGAUAUUUCUCAUUUUCUGUUGAAACUUGCGAUGGGAGAAGCCGUCCCCGAAAUCCCGGGCGCCGUGGAGGGGGUCUGGUCUCUGGGUCUCUGGUCACCCGGUCAGUGCCUCCAGCCCCCGGCAGAGCUCUGUUAUCGUCCCGGGGCGAGCCCAAUUCCGCAGGCUAGGGCCGAUGGCGGCGGAACUGUGGUCAGGGCUGCCCUGAGUCAUCCUGCGGACUGCGAGUCGGCGACCACCAGGAGGCGA